CCUGCGGGGGGCAGCAGUGGGGAAUAUUGCACAAUGGGGGAAACCCUGAUGCAGCGACGCCGCGUGAGUGAAGAAGUAUCUCGGUACGUAAAGCUCUAUCAGCAGGGAAGAAAAUGACGGUACCUGACUAAGAAGCCCCGUCUAACUACGUUCCAGCAGCCGCGGUAAUACGUAGGGGGCAAGCGUUAUCCGGAUUUACCGGGUGUAAAGGGAGCGUAGACGGCAGCACAAGUCUGGAGUGAAAUCCCGGGGCUUAACCCCGGAACUGCUUUGGAAACUGUGCGGCUGGAGUGCAGGAGGGGUAAGCGGAAUUCGUGGUGUAGCGGUGAAAUGCGUAGAUAUUAGGAGGAACACCGGUGGCGAAGGCGGCUUACUAAACUGUAACUGACGUUGAGGCUCGAAAGCGUGGGGAGCAAACAGGAUUAGAUACCCGAGUAGUC
rnacentral:rRNA from 1 species